rnacentral:misc_RNA from 1 species
CAACCCUCAAGCCUAGCUUGGUGCUGGGGCAUUACCUUCCCUUACGAGGGUAAGCCCUGAAAUUCAGUGGCGAGCUCGCCAGGACUCCGAGCGUAGUAGUAAAACCCUCGCUUUGGACUGUACUGGCGCGGCCCUGCCGUAAAACCCCCAACUUCUGAAAAUUUGACCUCGGAUCAGGUAGGAAUACCCGCUGAACUUAA